rnacentral:tRNA from 1 species
GGUCCAAUGGUUUAGUGGUUAGGGAUUGGACUUUGAAUCCAAUAUCCCAAGUUCAAGUCUUGGUGAGACUU